rnacentral:rRNA from 1 species
GACCAAGAAGUCUAACAUGUGUGCGAGUCAUUGGGUAUAUUGUUGAAACCUAAGGGCGCAAUUAAAAUAACUAUUUUAUGGGAUUACAAGUGAAUUAAAUUUCAUUUCUUCAUCCCGGGGCGUUCUAUACGAACAUGGUGCAAGCAAUUGAACCCUCUGUUCAAGAGCGUACCUUGAGCAUACAUGCUGUGACCCGAAAGAUGGUGAACUAUACCUGAUCAGAUCGAAGCCAGGAGAAAUUCUGGUGGAGGAUCGAAACAGUUCUGACGUGCAAAUCGAUUGUCAGAAUUGGGUAUAGGGGCGAAAGACCAAUCGAACCAUCUAGUAGCUGGUUCCCUCCGAAGUUUCCCUCAGGAUAGCUGGCGCAAAGAAUUAUAUUGUAUAUAAUCUUAUCUGGUAAAGCGAAUGAUUAGAGGCCUUGGGGCCGAAACGACCUCAACCUAUUCUCAAACUUUAAAUGGGUAAGAACCUCAUCUUUCUUGAUCUGAAGAUAUUGGGGUUUAGAUAUAUUGUGCCCAGUGGGCCACUUUUGGUAAGCAGAACUGGCGCUGUGGGAUGAACCAAACAUGAUGUUACGGCGCCUAAAUUAAUGACUCAUAUUGAUACCAUGAAAGGCGUUGGUUGCUUAAAACAGCAGGACGGUGGACAUGGAAGUCGUAAUCCGCUAAGGAGUGUGUAACAACUCACCUGCCGAAGCAACUAGCCCUUAAAAUGGAUGGCGCUCAAGUCAUAUGCCUAUACAUCAUCGCUAGAAUAAAUAUUGUUGGCCAUCUGGUCAUCAUUGUGAAAUUCUAGUGAGUAGGAGGGUACAAUGGUGUGCGCAGAAGUGUUUGGCGUGAGCCUGCAUGAAGCCGCCAUUGGCACAGAUCUUGGUGGUAGUAGCAAAUAAUCGAAUGAGAUCUUGGAGGACUGAAGUGGAGAAGGGUUUCGUGUGAACAGUGGUUGAUCACGAGUUAGUCGGUCCUAAGCUUUAUGCGAAAGCUGUUUAAUUUAUGUUACACACAAUUUUUUGUUGUACAUAAUUCAAUAAAAGCGAAAGGGAAUACGGUUCCAAUUCCGUAACCUGUUGAGUAUACGUUUGUUUAUUAAAAAUGGGUCUUAUUACACUCAUCCUGGUAACAGGAACGACCAUAGAGAAGCCUUCGAGAGAUACUGGAAGAGUUUUCUUUUCUGCUAAACAAACGUAUCACCAUGGAAGUCUUUUAUAGAGAGAUAUGGUGGAUGGCUUGGAAGAGCAUGACAUUUACUGUUGUGUCAGUAUUUUCUCCUUGGACCUUGAAAAUCUAUGGUGGGGCCACGCAAACUUCUCAACAGACCGUACCGAUAUCCGCAG